UUGUUUUGAUAUUAUUUUCCAUACCACGCUUGUGAGUUUGUAAGAAAUAAACAAAAACAUUCUCACAACUUUAAAGAAGUUACUUAUUGUACAUAGACAUAUUUUUUCACACACAACACUGUUCUGUGGUAAAAUUGUAUUAAACUUUUCAUACAAUUAUAUGGAAGAUACGACCGAUGCGCCCAAGAUCGCAAUAUGGAAACCGGUGCUAUGACCUCGUGAAUAAUGCAGCGACCAUUUUAUAUAUUUGUAUGUAUACAACGUGAUCAAGUAUGACGUAUGCUGACUAGUAACAGGUUUACCAAAAAUAACAAGUGUGUGCCAAAUAUUAAGCAAAAUGCAUGUUCUUCGCGCUGUUAAUAAUAGUUCUAGUUUAUUAUAAAGUCAUCGUUUACUCUAAAUAGCUGUGUAUUAUAGAUACAAAAGUGAUAUUUGACUAAGAAAAAGUUGGGAACCCCUGGUUUAUGUAGACGUGUCUCAAGUUGCCUGGAAUCAAAUCGAGUGCUUUAAACAUAAAAUUGUUUGUUCUAAGUUUUGAAAUGUGCUUUUGAUCAUUUAAUGUGGAUUUUGAUCUUGGAUUUUAUUAUUAUCAAAUUCGAUAUUUUAGUAAAAUAAGGUGAAUAUUCAAGAUGAACAAGGAAGAGCCUAGGUUUAAUAGAUGUUGUUUCUGCUUCCCGCUGCGAUACGGCUUGUUGGUGUGGGGCAAUGUGAAAAUUUCUGUGGCAGCGUUUUUCAUAACAACGACGUCGUAUGCGUUGCUUAGCCUUUGUUUGAUGUUCUCUACGUACGGGACUGAGGACAUGAGGCCGCGUUUCAUCAGAGAUGUCGCUCUAACUAGUGUGGGCCUCUGUUUGUUUAUACUGGACUUUUGCGUGAAUAUUGUCUUUAUAGUUAGAGGAUAUAAGAAAAGUAAAGAGCUGAUACGAUUCUUCUACUACUACAGUAUAGCUGUGUGGGUCCUCAGUAUAUUGUUGACUGCUUUGGCCAUCAGCUUCUCAAUCGAAGGCUGGUUGGCCAGGUACCUGAUGAUGAGGAUCCAUAUGGUCCAUAUACUCAACUACUUUAGUUACUUUGCGAUUAUCGUUGUUCAAACUUACUUCUUACUUCUACUAAAUAGUGAGAUUACCAAAUUGAAUAAUAAUACUUACGAUCCCGCGGCCAAGGUUGCAAUGGACACAAUUGCAUCAAAACGUCAAACCGAGACGGCAAACGACUCGGAUUCAGUAGAGUCAGAAAUCCUUUAAGGGAAAAAGCAUCUCUAUCAUAAUUAUCUACUAACUAGCUGACUGGGCAGACUUCGUGCCGCCUCCAACAUAUUUUUCCCACCUUUAAAACCUUCCCUGGACUUCUACAAAUAAUUCAAGACCACAAAUAAGCCAAAUCGGUCCAGCCGUUUUCAAGUUUUGGCGAGACUAACGAACAUCAAUUAAUUUUUAUAUAAUAAGAUGUUGGCAAUGUACAAAUAAUUAAAUAUUUAAUAUUAGUUACUUAAUAAGACUGACUUUUCUUUGCAAGAGGACCCAGAAGAGUGUAUUUCACCUUUAUUACAAUAGUUCUAAAUAUUAGGUACUCGUUACUCAUAUAAUAUUAUCUUUAUGUUUUAUUUUUGUGUGUAUGUAUUAUUUUGUGUACAAUGGGUAUUAAUUACCCAUUGUGGUGAAAAAUAAUACAAUCCAUUUGAUGAAUAUGUUUAAACGAAACGUAAACCAUAAUUAUUAGGUAUGUUGUUAACACGUUUACUGCCAUGCUGGUCAAUGGUGACCUGUAGUCUUAAUCGUAAGUAACUAUAAAAAAAAAAAGUUUUUACUAAAGGACAAUGAGUUAUGUUGGGCCCACCUCUUAAAAGGAAUAAGAUACCCCUCUAUGGAGAAGUAUUCUUCUGCAGAAUAAAACUUUGUGUUACGACUAAGGUCAAAAGUUAGUGGUUUUAGAGUUUAUAGUGACUAGAAUAUUUCCAAACAGUAAGAGUUUUUAUAAAAUACUAAUAAUAUAUCUAAGUAGCCAUGUUGUUUAUGAAUGUUGAUUUUAAUGUACUUUCCAUCAUUGAAAUAUUAUUUUACUACGUCAUGUAGGUAAUUGAUCCACAACAAACAAAUAUACAUGACUUUAACGUCUGUUGCCUCUCUAAACACGAUCCAAAAUACCACUGAAGCACGGGUCACUGUGCGCUGUGCGGCCCGAUGGGCAAGGUUGAGUUAACGGUCACCAGUACUUGACUCGACGCACGGUCCGAACGGAAAAACUAUUUUCUUUUUUCUUGACAGUGAAACAAAACGCGUCUUUGACGUAAGUUGACGCUUGUCAAUGACAGUGACAGUGAACGUCAAACUAUGUUUGUUUUGUUUUUAUUUUUCUUACCAUGUUUGUCAGUUUGUGAGAAAUAAACAAAAACAUUACAUGUAUUGACAUUUAAACACCGUUCUGUGCCAAAAUUAUAUUGGACAUUUCAUAUAAUCGUAUCGAAGAUACGACCGAUGCGCCCAAGAUCGCAAUAUAAAAACCGGUGCCAUGACCUCUUUAAUAAUGCAGCGUACGUUUUAUAUAGUUGUAUGUAUACAAAGUCAAGAAGUAUGACGCAUACAGAUGAGCAUCAGGUUUACAAAAAAACAAGCUUGAGCUAAAUAUUAAGGAAAAUGCGUACUAAGCUGAACAUGGCAUAAAGUGCUGUGUGUAACUUCGCGCUGUUGGCCUGAUUCUAAUUAUAGCUUUCAUGUCAUUAUAAAGUCAUCGUUUGCUCUAAAUAGCUGCGUAUUAUAAAAUACAGAUGGUGGUCUAACCUAUUUUUUUGAGUACUAAGUACUUUUUGGCCUGACAAGUGUGUGCCUUCUACAUUAAACUGGUGUUAAGUCUCUCUACAAAGUGUAAAAGAGGUUGUAUUUGUAAACUGACAUUAGAUAAAAUGGCUGAGCUGCCAGUGUUUAAAAAAUGUUGUUUUUGUAUACCUUUACGGUACGGGCUGCUAACAUGGGGGUAUCUGAAAUUGGGUAUAUCAACGGCCAUUUUGAUUAUAUUUCUAAUUAUCCUGUCACAAAUACCAUUGAGCCACUCAAAGGAUUUGAACAUAGUUAUUAUGAUAAUUGUAGUUAUAUUGACUGAAGUGGUUGUCCAUUGUGGAUUCAUCGUCGGGGUACAUAAGAAAGCUGUGAAGAUUAUGAGGCUGUACUUCUACUACGCCCUAUUCAUGUGGUCGGUGACAAUGAUGGCGGCGGUCGUCGUGACAGGCUUGCUUUCCGUUAGUUUGUACUUUACCGAUUCUAGUCUUGAAAUAAUCAUCUUUACCACGACUAUCGUAGCGUUCGCCCUGUCUAUUGCUGUCCAGACCUUCCUGCUGCUGGCUUUACGGAGCGAAAUCAUUAAGCUUCGAAGUAACUGUCCGUACAGAUUCGUCAAGGAUGACAACGAGCCUGAAGGUACUAUCACUCCCGUCAGCCAAAAUAUAGAUCUCACAUCAACAAAUAGCACGGAACCUAUACAAGAGAAAAUGGCAUUUUAGAGGAAAAAUCAUGUUUUUGUAUAAAAGGUGUUGAUACAAAUUAAAACGUGUCCAGAUUCUCUUGGUCGUCGUUUGAAGUUACAGACUUUCAAAGUUACAUGAAUGCUAUUAUACUGCUUUGUACAUUACUGUUCGACUAAUUACAAGCCACGAUCGGGACUCGUAAACAAGAGCAGCAAGCGCACAUCCAACCAUGCGAUAGCAUAGGAAAAUGAGGAUUAUGUACAUAAUGGUCUUUUCAAGUUACAUGAUUCCUUCUUACGUUAUAUAAAUGUACAUUAUUUUGCAAAUAUUAUAUAACAACUAUUCUAUUGUAGCUCAGUGCUUAAUAUAUUUUUAUACCUAAAUGUACGUCACAGAAUACGUGCAAAAUAUAAAUAAAAAAUGUCUUUACGAGGUUAAUAAUUGUAAGAUUUAUAAUUUUAUAUUAUAUUUUUUUAAGAAUUAAUAUAUAUUUCUGUAUAUUGACGUAUUUAUCAGAUUUAAUAUUAAGGUGCGUACAGAUUUCACUAUCGCUUGCAUGUGAAAAAUACUUAGUUUUUAAUGUAUAUUGCGUUGUAUAAAACUGUUUGAAAUUAAUAAUACAUAAGUAAUAAUCAAAUUAAAUUGCAUUUUCAAAAUGGCGGGCUUUGUGUGAGAAUCUGACGUUUAAAGUGAUCUUUACUAUAUAUAGGGUGACAUGAUGAAAUGCGCGCGGGAAAUUUUGUUGUUUUGUUAUUGUGAUAAAAAUAAAACUAAUGGGUAUACAAAAAGAGUUAAUUUGGGCAAGUUGUUUGUAAACAUGAGUAUAAUCACGUGUUUAAAUAUCGUUCACUAAUUACUUGUCACCUUAUAUAGGUACAUAAUACCUAUUGUUUUAUAUUUUAUAUGGAGUUGUGAUCUUCAGUAACCUAUUUUUUAAGAAUUUUGACUGUUUUAAUUUAUUUUUCAAGUGCCAUAAUGUUUGUAUGCCAGCUCAUAUAAUUUUGUUGUUGGAUUAUAAACUUUAGCUCUUUGUAUUAGAGUUGAAAAUCGUAAUUGUAAGUAAUAAAAUGUGAAACUUUACCUCUAUACUUAAUGCUUAUAGUGCCUUUGGAAUUAUGCUGUGUCCAAUUUAUUGUAAUAUUUUAGCAAUGUUAAUAUUUUUGAGUAUUUUGUCAAUAAAUGAGUGUAUUAAAGAAAUGUUCCACCAGUUACCUAGGUAGAUAUAUAAGCGACUGCGAAGUAUAAGACGAGUAGGAAAGUAGUCUACUUUCCUACUCGUCUUAUCGUCUUAUCGUCGUAUCGAAACGCCAACAACGACAUAUUCAAUGAAUUUUGUACGAAAUAUACACUUAGGAUCUUAAACUCCAGACUUAUUUUUAGAUUUGCUAGAAAAAUUAGUAGAUCAUCAAAUCUAUGAACGAAAUAACAUGAAAAACAUUUUGCUCUACUUUCUUUUCAUAAAAUAUACUAGUAUACCUACCCUACCUACUAAACUGUGACCUAUGUACCUUUUAGCAUUUGCUCGAAUAUACUCAGCACUGCUCCUGUUCUAGUUGGCAAAAAUUAUAAUAAAAAUUGUGUAUAUUUUUUAAACAUAUAUUUUUGUAUUCAAUAAAGUGCCUGGAAGUGUUUUUUGUAUUUAAUAAAAUGUAUUUACUGAA